AUGUGGAUUGAGAGAGUUUUUCUUCUUCUGGUGGCCGUGGAACUAUUACUUUUAUCAAGGAACGGGACCGCGGCACAUCUCCUACACUCACGGACUGUUUACUCCAGAGAUCAGCUGAUCGCCCUGAUGCCGGCCGGCUCGCUGGCCAGACCCGCGGAAGUACCAGCUGAAAUUUGGAGAAAAACACAUCGGGGAUGCAGAGGUCAAGGACAGAAGAGAAAAAAGAAGGAGACCGUGAGACAGCGGAGGCUCGAAGUGAGGAGGAGGUAUAAACCGUGUCUGCCGUCUAUCGUGAUGGGAAACGUGAGGUCCUUAGCGAAUAAAAUCGACGAGCUCUCAGCACUGGUACGGAGUCAGAGGGAAUACCGAGAGUGUAGCCUGAUGUGUUUCACCGAAUCAUGGAUGCACCAGGACAUUCCCGACGAGAAUGCCUCCGUGGAAGGCUUCCACACUGUUCGGGCGGACAGGGACAGCAUCGCUAGCGGUAAGCGGAAAGGAGGUGGGCUUGCUGUUUUAGUUAACAACCGGUGGUGUAACCCUGCCAACAUAACAAUCAAAGAAAGGAUUUGUUGCCCGGACAUUGAACUGUGUGCUGUUGGACUCAGGCCGUAUUAUUUACCCAGGGAAUUCUCUCACGUCAUCUUGGUGGCUGUUUAUGUUCCUCCCUCUGCUAACCCCACAGCUGCAUGUGACACUAUUCACUCUGCCAUAGCCCGGUUACAGACUCAGCACCCGAGUGCCUUUAUUGUGGUCUCGGGUGACUUCAACCAUGUAUCACUGGACAAUACACUUCCAACAUUCAGACAAUAUGUGGACUGUCCGACCAGGGGAGAGAAAAUUCUAGACCUACUGUAUGCUAAUGUAAAGGAUGCAUACAGCUCCUCCUCCCUCCCCCCACUUGGUAGGUCAGAUCACAACCUGAUUCACCUCACCCCCUGCUAUGUGCCAAUUGUGAGGAGGGAACCUGUGACCACGAGGAGCGUUAGGAGGUGGUCAGAGGAGGCCUUAGCGGAGCUACAGGACUGUUUCGAGGUGACCAACUGGGAGACACUCUGUGAGCCUCACGCUGAGGACAUCAAUGGGCUAACUGAGUGUAUCACAGACUACAUAACUUUCUGCACCGACUCCAUUGUUCCAGCUCAGACUGUUCAUUGUUACCCAAAUAACAAGCCGCGGGUGACUAAGGACAUCAAAGCCCUCCUCAACAACAAGAAGAGGGCUUUCAGAGGGGGCAAUAAAGAGGAGGUGAGAAGGGUCCAGGUGUUACUAAAGGACAAGAUCAGAGAGGCUAAGGACAAUUACAGGAGGAAGCUGGAGUGGAAACUCCAGCAGAACAGCAUGAGAGAGGUGUGGAGGGGCAUGAAGACCAUCACUGGAUUCAGGCCAACCAACAGCAGGGGAGCUGAGGGAGGUGAGGAUAGAGCUAAUGAGUUGAAUCUGUUUUUCAAUAGAUUCGACACCACAGUGUCUGCUCACACCCCCACAACCUCACCUGUAGUCAGCCUGGAACCCAGAGCCACACCACUGUGCCAGCCUCUCUCUUCCCAUAGCACUGUUGCCUCCUGUGGGAUUCCUGACACCCCUCCCCCACCCAUCACCUUCACUCAAUACCAGGUUGAGAGGCAAAUGAGGAGACUUCACUCAGGCAAGUCUGCUGGACCAGACGGAGUGAGUCCCCGCGUCCUCAAGGCUUGUGCCCCCCAGUUGUGUGGAAUCUUUCAUAAACUGUUUAUGCUGAGUUUGAGCCUGCAAAGGGUCCCAGUGAUGUGGAAAACAUCAUGCCUCGUCCCUAUUCCAAAGACGCCACGUCCCAGUGGCCCCCAGGAUUACAGGCCCGUGGCACUGACCUCCCACAUCAUGAAGACUUUGGAAAGGCUCAUCCUGGACCAGCUGCGACCCAUUGUAAGACCACAUCUGGAUCCCCUGCAAUUUGCCUAUCAGCCUCGUCUCGGAACAGAGGACGCCAUCAUCUACCUGCUCAACCGUGUCUACACCCAUCUGGACCAGCCAGCGAGCACUGUGAGGGUCAUGUUUUCUGACUUUUCCAGUGCUUUCAACACCAUCAGGCCGACCCUCCUGGGUGAUAAGUUAACAGCGAUGCAGGUGGAUGCUUCACUGGUGUCCUGGAUUGUUGAUUACCUGACAGGAAGACCACAAUAUGUACGUCUUCCACAGUGUGUGUCUGACAAGGUGAUCAGCAACACAGGGGUACCACAGGGGACUGUCCUCUCCCCCUUCCUCUUCACCCUCUACACCACAGACUUCAGCCACUGCACAGAGACCUGCCAUCUUCAGAAGUUUUCUGAUGACUCAGCGGUGGUUGGAUGCAUCAGCAGGGAUGAUGAGACGGAGUACCGGGCUGUGGUCAACUCCUUUGUCACGUGGUGUGAGCAGAAUCAUCUGCAGCUCAACGUGGCAAAGACCAAGGAAUUAAUAGUGGACUUCAGGAAGACCAGGAAACACUUGACCCCUGUUUCAAUCCAGGGGGUCAGUGUUGACAUUGUGGAGGACUAUAAAUACCUUGGAGUACACAUUGACAAUAAACUGAACUGGACAAAAAACACCACAGCACUUUACAGAAAGGGCCAGAGUCGUCUCUAUUUUUUGAGGCGACUGAGGUCCUUCAACAUCUGCCAGAAAAUGCUCAGGAUUUUCUAUGAGUCUGUUGUGGCCAGUGCGAUCCUCUAUGCUGUUGCAUGCUGGGGGAGCAGGCUGAGGGUCACAGAUGCCAACAGACUCGAUAAACUGAUCCGUAAGGCCAGUAGUGUUGUGGGGAUGGAGCUGGACUCCCUCAAGGUGGUGUUGGAGAGGCGGAUGUUGUCCAAAAUAAAGACAAUGUUGGAUAACACCUCCCACCCACUCCAUGACAUGCUGGUCAGUCACAGGAGCGCGUUCAGUGAGAGACUGAGAGUACCAAAAAGCACCACUGAACGACACAGGAAAUCAUUCCUGCCUGUGGCCAUCUCCCUCUACAACUCAUCCACUUAA
ensembl:lncRNA